rnacentral:sRNA from 1 species
GUGGAACUUGGGAAAGAAUAAUAUUGAAUAUUUUAAAGGGGGGGAGGGAGCAGAAGAUGGAAAGCGAAGGUUGGGACUGUCGCUGGAAUUGUUGGGAAUGUGCACGUUCUGCUUUUCUUUUUUUGUCGAUGUGUAUCGGUAGUAUGAAAACUUUUAGACGUGUGACGAUUUGUAGGUGGUAGAAAGAGGAGUCUAUUUUUCUUGAUGACGCUCGAUAAGGGGAUGUGAUAGAAUGUGAAUGUGUUUGAAUGCACAGAACUUUCAGCAAGGGAUUUGUUGGUUCUCGCAUGGAUGAAGAACGUAGCGAAUUGCGAUAAGUAAUGUGAAUUGCAGAUUUUGAGUGAAUUAUUGAAUGUUUGAAAGCAUUUUGUGUUGAUUGGUAUUACGAGGAGCAUGGCUGUUUGAGUGUGAUAGAAAUUUCAAGUAAGUCUUGAUCGAUUUUAAGGCGGAUGGCUUGGAUUUGGGAGAUUGAUGGGAGUUGCGGGUUAGGUUUUAUGAAAUGUAUUAGCAAGAGGGGGAUGGCAAGUGUUUUUCGACGUGGAGGGAUUUGGAGGUGAUAAUGAUGGUGGUGGGUGGAGUGUGGGAUAUGCAUGGAUGGAAUGCGAGGUUGCUUGUAAUGCUAAUGGGUGGAGAGGGAGCGCUUUGAGGAUUGAUGGGUUUAGAGGUAUAUUAAAGGGGGGGAGAGAUUAGGGAAAUGUUGGGGUGGGGUGGUUUCGAUGU